rnacentral:tRNA from 1 species
GGGUCGGUAGCUCAGUUGGUAGAGCAGCGGACUUUUAAUCCGUUGGUCGGGAGUUCGAAUCUCCCCCGACCUACCA